GCUACUAAAACACACGAUAGAAGAGAGACAUGUAAGCCAUUCUGGCUAUGUAAAGACUUCCCCCAAAAUCCAUAUACAAGUACCAAUAUUCAUUUCUUUCAGAACUGGUUUCUCAACAUAAACAAUCAUUCUUUGCAAAGAUAGUUGGAGCUAUCCACCAACCGCUCAACAACUUAAAUUCAAAUUGAUGAUUACCUUGUACCCCAAAACAUGCAAUUCACACUCCUCUUAGAAACAUCCUCAGUCAAGCAUAUAUAACAAUAUUAUUGUAAUAAAACUCAACCAUGAAAAACAUAGUGAAAACAUCAUAGGCAUACUUGUAUAUCACAAGCAUAAUAACAACUUCAUUCUCACAAAUGAUCAGCGAUAUUUACCGCAUUAAUAAAACAAUAUCAAAAUUUCAGAAAUAAAUUAUAUCAAGCAUUAAGCCAUAAACAACUUACCACAUCACAGUAAAGGAAUCGGGAGGGGUGAAAUUAUUGUCAUCUGCACUUCAAAGUCACUAAUAUAUAUCAAAGAUACUUGAACUCAUACCCUUCCUAUAUGUGCAAGUGUGUCAAAUUUAUCUUCAAAUUGUCAAGAAUCUAAAGCCUAAGCUUUGAUACCAACUGUAACACCCCGGGAUCCACAAACACCCCAGAAUGCUACUAAACUACACAUCUAACAUUCAUGUAUAAAAUUUCGAUAGUGUCUCCUUUGAAAAUUGCAUAAACGGGAAAGCAACAAAGUAUAAAUAGAUAUCAUGAUAAGAAAACAUAAUAGACAUUAAUAAUCUGCUAGCAAUGGGAAGACGACCAUAACGACAUGAACUGAAUUAACCAGUGCGCACGACUAGUUAAAAACAAACAUCCUUUGAUAAGAAGUUUCUAAUUAAAUCAUGACUGCGCCUGGGCAGCAUUAUUAUGAGAGUGAAGGUGUAUGUGCUGCUACUUCCCACUCCCCUUGAUGAGCAACAAGCACCUGCAUUGAGUAAUGCAAGAGUGAGAUGAAACAUCUCAGCAAGCUAAUUGUUUUGACGAGAUAUUUAAACCACAUUGAAUUAAUCAACAUUUUAAAAGAAUCACAAUCAAGAUCAGAAAUACUUGUAGAUAUAGAACUCAGUAGUCACAAUAUAACCAAUACCAUCUCAUUUCCUCGAACAACCACAAUAGGUUGUAUAACACUUCCCUGCAUCAACAAUACCUGCAAAUAUCACUUCAAUGUAUGCAUAGGAAUGCAAUGUGUAGGUCCUCUAUCUUCAUACCUCUGAGGGUAUAAAACCACAUCAUCUUCAAAUAUCACUUCAAUGUAUGCAUAUGAAUGCAAUGCAUAUGUCCUCUGCCUUCAUACCUCUAAGGGUAUGAAGCCGCAUCGUACCCCUCCUCGGGCAACGUACGAUGCUAAGUUGUACUGGUACGGUCGGACCAUAGGUCACGACAAAACUUCAGAUGCAAAUGAGUCAUGCAAUGUAUAUGGCAUGCUGCAUUUAUCAAUAAAUUUCACUUCCUUUAAAUACAAUACAAACCUCAAAUAAUACUUUAUCUGCCUUCAGAUACAAUGCAAUCCUCAAAUAAUACUUCGUAUGCCUUUAGAUACAAUGCAAACCUCAAAUAAGACUUCAUCUGCCUUCAGGGGUGUGAAUUAAUCUCAUGGGUCAUACUUGAACCAUAAUAAUCAUCAAUAUAUGAUAGAGCAUCAACAUAAUACAAUCAAGUAAAACAUCAUCAUAGAGUUCAAUUAUGAAAGAAUCCAAUAAUUCUGCAUAUUAGAGUGUAGGUGAUAGAAAUAACAGGUCAAAAUGAUAGCAACCACCGCUACAUUCACUUGCCUUCAUCGAAGAAGAAGAAUGUACUAGGCAUGAUCUGGAGUGUAGCCACCUGCUAGCGGGUAUAAAACUUAGUACAAAUAUUUCACAAACAUUUGCCAACAAUCAACAAAACACUCCUACACUUGAAACCAAGACCUAGUGGAAAGACUCCCACCCUGAACCACAUGCUAUACAGCAGCAGCGCUGUUUGUUAAUUUUGUAUCUUUAAAAUUAAAACAUUGGUGAUAUCAAACAAAUACUCUAAGAGUAUCUACACAAAACAAUCUACAACUUCGGUAUUCAAUGGAUAAUUAAAUUCUGCCAUCAAUAUAUUCUAAAACAUCUGACAAGAUAACUGACUGAAUCUGUUUUAGACAGCAGCCUAGUUAACUUCAAAAUUCGAUAUCUCCCAAACUACUGAACCAAAAAUUAUGACAUUCUGCUGGCAGUAAGAACUUUUAUCCCUCUACAAAAGUCUUUACAGUUGGAAGAGCCAAUUUGGCCAUUUACUAGAUGAAACCCACCAGUGAACAGACCCGCUCAUUUUUAUCAGGCAAACAGGAACAGCCACAGUUAAACAAACAUAACUGAAGUUUUAUAAAUCAUAUGAAUACACUCUUUAACAAUCGGGAAAGCUUAUGAAGUUAUCUACAACUUCUUUUACCAACCCACAGUUUAAUUCCGUUGAUAAAAUUGCCUAACUCUUAAGAGAACAGAUUCUGCACAGAAUUAUGAGACUGAAAAACUGCUAUAAUCAAACUGCAAUAACUUUCUGUUCUGAUGUCCGAUUGAGGUGUUCUUCGUGGCCACGGAAAGAUCUACAAAUUAUCUACGACUCAUAUAUAGACUUUUUAUUUUUUUGAGGCCACUAAGAUUACGGAAAACUGACAUGAACAGAAACUGUCGAAUCUGCCAUUCUGCAGAAAUUAAAUUCGAGAUCGAAACCUAACCCCACAUCUAAUCCAACCUCUAAUCCUUCAAUCCACAUGAUCCACAACCUCCAAAAGCAUAUAAUUAUAGGGAGGAACAAGGAUCCUAUCCUUACCUAGGGUUUCCCCAAGAAAAUCUGCAAGAGAUGGGGGUAGAACAUCUCCUUGAUCCUCUCUUCCUCUUCAAUCCAUCUUGCUCCUCCUCUUCUCGAUCCUUGCUGCGUGGGGGGAGAUCUAGAGGGAGGAGGAAGUAGUGGAGGGUGGCUGCAAGGGGAAGGGGGAGGGG
rnacentral:lncRNA from 1 species